CCUAGUUUCAUCAAUAAGAAAAAGAUUCAAGAAAGACACCCAUAUGUUAUUAGCUUUUAGUAUUUGCAACAUAAAUGUCAACUCUUUUUCCUACCAGAGGUUUAUCACAAUAAAAUAAAAAUACGCAUUCAAGCUUUCUUGUUUACAUCACAAGCUAUCAUUCCAAAUAGAAUUUCAUUAUACCAUAAAAUUGUGUCAAAAACCACAUCGAACUCAUGGAAUCAUAAAACCUUCAAUUCAGACCCUAAAAUAUAGUAGAUCAGUGGGUGAGAAACAUCUUCAUCAAUGCACACAAAAGCAAUGUACUUUGGAACUGAGACCAACAUUAGCAUUGAACUUCUAGGUUGUUACUUUUCCACUAUUAAACUUUGAUUCCUAUCCCAAAACAAUUCGUCUUUGAAGAUUUAAUGAGUUUCAAACUGUUGAAACUUUAAACCUUGAUUUUAUUUCAAUUCUAAAUUGAGCUGUUGGAUCUCUUUAUCUAUGAAUGAGGGAAAGAAAUUAGAGAACCAGAUUAUGCCCUCUGCGAUGUGUGAAACAAUGAAAGAAUGAGUGAACCGAGAAGUUAAAAGUUUAGGAGAACACUAUAAUUAUGUGCUCACUCAUUCAACAUCGUCGGCUAAUGUCGUUUCUGCCUCUAGUACAACAUCAUGAAUCAGAACUUUAGACAAAAAAAUAUACAUCCUGAAUCAAAUAUACGAACUCGGAUUAAUCAAAUAGAAAAACAAAAUGUUAAAAAUCGGAUAGGCCUAGAAGUCUGAUAAGGUUUAAUCAAAUCGAAAAGCAUACCUCCUGUAGGCUGAAGUGUCCAAGUCUGAAGUCUUCAACUCCUGUCUUCACUUUUAAGAAUUAGAUAUCCAUAAAUUGGCUAUACAUAAGAAAUCGGGAUAGAGGGUGAAAGGGCAUUCAGAAAUCGAUUAAAGGAGGGACGGGGGUAUACAAAAUUGGAUGGCUAAGCAUAUAUGAAAUAGAUUCGUAAGUGGGAGAGUAUCUAUAAAUCUUGUGUUUUGAAAAAAAAAUCGACAAUAGAGACUCCUCGUUUAUCGUUUCUACAUCCUGAUUCACAAAGUCAUCGACGCUUCCUUAUUCUAAGUGAGUAGGCGUCUAUUACAUAGCCAAUCGUUUGAUUUCCCACGCCUUUGCAUGCCUGCAUCAGAUUGAAGUAACUGCGUCUUUUUUUUUUUUUUUUUGCCAAUUACUGACGACAACCUAAAAUUCAACGGUAGCAUACAACACAA
rnacentral:lncRNA from 1 species